CCUACGGGAGGCAGCAGUGAGGAAUAUUGGUCAAUGGACGCAAGUCUGAACCAGCCAUGCCGCGUGCAGGAAGACGGCUCUAUGAGUUGUAACCUGCUUUUGUACGAGGGUAAACGCAGAUACGCGUAUCUGUCUGAAAGUAUCGUACGAAUAAGGAUCGGCUAACUCCGUGCCAGCAGCCGCGGUAAUACGGAGGAUUCAAGCGUUAUCCGGAUUUAUUGGGUUUAAAGGGUGCGUAGGCGGUCGGAUAAGUUAGAGGUGAAAUCCCGAGGCUCAACUUCGGAAUUGCCUCUGAUACUGGUCGGCUAGAGAGUAGUUGCGGUAGGCGGAAUGUAUGGUGUAGCGGUGAAAUGCUUAGAGAUCAGACAGAACACCGAUUGCGAAGGCAGCUUACCAAGCUACUUCUGACGUUGAGGCACGAAAGCGUGGGGAGCAAACAGGAGUAGAUACCCUUGUAGUC
rnacentral:rRNA from 1 species